rnacentral:misc_RNA from 1 species
UAACAGUGGUGGUCGUCAUGUGUCAAAUACAUUUAUCAACAGCUUUUGGUACUUAGAUCAGCUCGGAAUGGGGGCCAAGUACCAUACUAAAGUGUAUUGCAGGCAAACAUUAAUCGGUGGAAACUAUGGUCUUCUGAAUACAACUACAUUUGUACCCAAUCCUGACUACUACAGUGCCCUUCUCUGGCACCGGCUUAUGGGGAAAGGUGUUCUACCUGUUGGCAGCGAUGCUUCACCGUAUCUACGUGCUUAUGCCCAUUGCUCAAAGGGACGCGUAAGGCUACACCGUGUUUUAACUUUAUAACCUAAUUAUUUGCUAUGAAUAGCCGGUCAUUAUGAGAGAAUUAAGACAACACUAAUAUUAAGAGUUCCAAUUUUGUGCAUCAUAUGGUCUACAAUGGGGCAAGUUAUGAGCCUUGAGAUAAAUGUGAUAUAAAUCAUCCCCAAUUUUUAUGGUCAUUGCUUCUAGGAUUAACAUAUGUGUAGCAGUGUUAGGACCUAACAAAUUUGUUAGCUUCAUGCUAUAGCUGAAUAAAGCAUUACAUUGUGUUUGUAUUGUAUUGAAGGAAAAAUGGGGAGAAAAUGAAUUAAAGGAAGAGAAGUUAUGGAGAAAAUGAAUUAAAGGAAGAGAAGUUAUGUUCAAUUCUUUCGUUUGGCUUUUAAAAUGAGAAGGGAAGAGAAGGGA